GACGAACGCUGGCGGCGUGCUUAACACAUGCAAGUCGAACGGUAAGGCCCUACCUUUGUCUUCUGCUCGAGUGGCGAACGGGUGAGUAACACGUGAGUAACCUGCCCUUUACUUUGGGAUAACUUCAGGAAACUGGGGCUAAUACCGGAUAGCAGCUCCUGCUGCAUGGUGUGUGUUGGAAAGUUUCGGUGGCUGGGGAUGGACUCGCGGCUUCUCAGUUUUUUGGUGGGGUAGUGGUUUACCAAGGCGUUGACGGGUAGCCGGACUGAGAGGGUGACCGGCCACAGAGGGACUGAGAUGCGGCCCAGACGGAUACGGGAGGCAGCAGUGGGGAAUAGUGCACAAAGGGCGGAAGCCUGAUGCAGCAACGUCGGGUGCGGGAUGACGGCCUUAGGGGUGGAAACCGCGUGCGCCUGUGAAGAAGAGUGAGUGACGGUAAUGGGUAAAGAAGCAACGGCUAACUACGUG
rnacentral:rRNA from 1 species